rnacentral:lncRNA from 1 species
GUACAAUUUGCUUUAUAGAAAUCUUAAUUCGAUUUUGUUAUAUAUAUAUAUUUGAGUCAUCCAAUAAAUUUUUUAUUAAUCUCAUGGGUGUUCAAAAAAUCGCUAAGCGGCGGUGAGGGUGGGCCUAGCACCUAGCAAAAAAAAUCGGAGAUUAUAUGGAAAUUAAUCGGGAUUAGCUUUAGGACUAUGUAAUGUUUUAAAAACAUAUUAAUCCAUUAUAAUUAAAAAAUUUAUAUAAUUUUGUUUUAUAAAUAAAUUACGUAACACAUGAAAUCAAGAUUUUAAGCUCAGAUUUAUGAUUUUUAAACAAAUUACAAACAUAGGUUGGACAAUUGAAUUUUAGAUCCAUUAAAAAUGUAAAAAAAAAUGGGCUAGGCGCGGUGUAGCGUCUCUUAACCAUACUAGACAUAAGUCCGGCUAGGCCCUUACAUGUGACAAGUACUUUGUACGAAUAGACCGAGGUUGUAGCACAAAAUUAGUGUCCUUAGUCCGUCCACCCUUAGUACCGUCUCUUCCGAUCCCGAAAUUAGGCUUGCCAAACCUUUUCCGAGAAAGGAAAUUGUGUCGGCCCGGACAAAGGCUUAUCAUCAAUUCCUCGUCAUAAAAUUAAACAUAACUUUAUUCAAUAAUAGUAAUAAAACAACGUUCAUACAAAAACCAGUUUUAACGAGUCAUGACUUCAAGCAUAUACCAAAAAGAAAUAAAAGCAACUUAAACAACUAACAAACUACACCAGCGGCCUACACGUCCAAACUCCCUCUAAAGCAACCCAACUAAUGGUUACCAGCAACAAAAUAGUGGCAUCAUGAGUACUAAUUACUCAGUUAGUUCGACGCCUAAACUCGAAAAUUAAACACCCCAAGUCCCCAACAGAAAAAUAGAUAAACAAGCAACAAGCAAAACCAUUGACGAACAAUGGAAAACAAUCAAUCUAACAUGCAACCUAAACAAACAAGCAAUAAACAACAAAUAACAACACAACACAUCCUAUGGCCAUGUGAACGAUCCUUCCCAUCGAACAAGUGAACAAUCCGUUUAAAGCCACGAAGUCUAUAAACGAUAUACCACAUGGGCCUUCAACGACGGACAAUCCCCGUUACCUCGUCAGGUAACUGUCUGGCCCUUGGGAGCGACCUAGUCUCUCCGAACCCAAUAAAAAGAGGGAAGUGCACUCGAACACCACAAAACUCUAAAUAACAACCACACAAACAACAUGAGCCAAACCACGACAACAACAACAAAAAAAAACAAGCAAGCAAUCAAGAAGAGAAAGUUUGUGCGCCACUUCACACACUUUGGAACUCACAGAUGUGGACGGCAAAUCAGAUCUCUCGGCGAUUCUUCUCGGCAACGGCAGAAAAACGACAAAACAGUCUCCAGCAGAGCUUCUUCACCUUCGGGAUCUCCU